rnacentral:rRNA from 1 species
AGAUUGAACGCUGGCGGCAGGCCUAACACAUGCAAGUCGAGCGGCAGCACGGGUACUUGUACCUGGUGGCGAGCGGCGGACGGGUGAGUAAUGCCUAGGAAUCUGCCUGAUAGGUGGGGGGAUAACGUUCGGAAACGGACGCUAAUACCGCAUACGUCCUACGGGAGAAAGUGGGGGAUCGUUCGGACCUCACGCUAUCAGAUGAGCCUAGGUACGGAUUAGCUAGUUGGUAGGUAACGGCCUACCAAGGCUACGAUCCGUAACUGGUCCUGACGUAGGAUGGACGUCAGGUCACACUAGGAACCUGAGACCGACGGUUCCAACG